CGGCACCGUCUCCGGAAAUCUCCCGAUAUUGUCGCUCCCUCUCCCCGAACCGUAACAGCUCGCUUGCUCCAAAGACCCCGUCCCAGCACAGUUUUUAAAUUCACUGUGACGUGCAGAGCCUCGUUCCUACCCAUUUCUCACAAGCAGUUCCUUCCUUUCUUCAUGUUAGAGCUCAUGGUCCAUCUUUGGAACAGUAUUUUAGAAAUUCUCUGUAUCCGUGCCUCAGUUUCCUCAUCUAGGAAAUGAGAUAAUCAUACCCACUUCCUAAAGUUUUCCUGCUACUUAUAAAAGUUAAUGCAUGUGAAAGAACUUAGAACAGUGCCUGCCCCAUGAUGACAUCAACUACUGAGACAAUUGGCCAAAAAUUAAAACGCAGCUGCAACCACUCUCGUCAGCAAUGAGAGUGUUUCUGACAUUGUUGGUCUGAAAAUAUUCUGGACUGAAUUGAAGCCAACCUAUCGGUUGCACCACAUUGUCAUCCUUUUCAGUCUAUUGUUGCUUAGUAAUUUUCCUACCGUUGUUCCUGCUCAAUAUGGUUCAGAACUCAGACGGUGGUUUAAAUAUUAGCCUACUGGCCCCCGUUCAGAAGAACGUCUUGCAACAGCAGGUAUAUUGUAUCAGCAUCUCAAGUAGUCUAUGUUGGAGCCCCUGAAAAUGUAAUAAUUCAAGCUCAGGGAUACACAGAAUCAUUUGCUGCGACCAUCGCUAUUAAAAGUUAUCCUGACAAAAAUUUUACAUAUUCUUUUGGCCAAGUUAAUUUAUCUCCAGAGAAUAAAUUCCAAAGCUCUGCAAACUUAACUAUACAACCAAAAGAUUUAUCUGGAGGACGAAAUGCAGUUUCACAUGUGUAUUUAGAAGUUGUAUCUGCUCAUUUUUCAAAAGCAGCAAAAAUUCCACUAUGCUAUGACAAUGGAUUUCUCUUCAUUCAGACAGAUAAAUCUGUUUACAAUUCAGAUCAGUCAGGAUCCAGAAGGGUCAGAGGUUGCCGUGGUUGGAAAAAAAAAUUAUACCGGAGUUAUCAGUUUUCCUGACUUCAAGAUUCCAUCUGAUGCUAAGUAUUUUAAAUGAUUUGUUGAUAAAGUGGUUUCUCUUAAAAGCAGUAGAGGGAACUAGGAUUAUUGAACAGUCUGAUGGAGCCAUUUACUCGUGGAUGAAAGAUGCUAAUGUAAACGAAGUUUGGUUCUGGCUAUUCUUCUCAGGCCCAGUGAGAGUCCUUCCUGCCUAAGGGAAGGUGGCACCCAGCUGAGCUCUUCUGCAUCAAGGCAGGGGGCCUGAUAUAUACUGCCAGCUGUAAGCACCAAGCUAGGUUGCUCUGUCCAAUUUAGUGAGCACCUUCCACAGCAAUGUCCAGGUAGUGGAUACUGUGGGAGACAGACCUUGCUCUGAAAAUUCUGAGAGCAUAAUAGAAGAGAGAAAAAUAUAUAUACAGGAGACUGGGAAGGAUGAGUCAAGCGCUGGAGGUGUAAAGCCUAGAAGAAACACCUGAACAUGU